rnacentral:rRNA from 1 species
AAAUUGAAGAGUUUGAUCAUGGCUCAGAUUGAACGCUGGCGGCAGGCCUAACACAUGCAAGUCGAACGGUAGCACAGAGAGCUUGCUCUCGGGUGACGAGUGGCGGACGGGUGAGUAAUGUCUGGGAAACUGCCUGAUGGAGGGGGAUAACUACUGGAAACGGUGGCUAAUACCGCAUAACGUCGAAAGACCAAAGAGGGGGACCUUCGGGCCUCUUGCCAUCAGAUGUGCCCAGAUGGGAUUAGCUAGUUGGUGAGGUAACGGCUCACCAAGGCGACGAUCCCUAGCUGGUCUGAGAGGAUGACCAGCCACACUGGAACUGAGACACGGUCCAGACUCCUACGGGAGGCAGCAGUGGGGAAUAUUGCACAAUGGGCGCAAGCCUGAUGCAGCCAUGCCGCGUGUAUGAAGAAGGCCUUCGGGUUGUAAAGUACUUUCAGCGGGGAGGAAGGUGUUGUGGUUAAUAACCGCAGCAAUUGACGUUACCCGCAGAAGAAGCA